GUUUUGAGUAGCGCUAAUUGCUGCAUCAGUAUCGCUUACGGGAACCAUUUCUGCUUGAACCUAAGCUGGGAACAGUAUAUCUAACACAUAUAUAUGUUCCUGACCUAAGCUAUUCGUAGAAAUGUAUCUAUGUAUUUUGUAGACAUUAUAAAAACUUUGUAAUUUUAUGUUAUUUGCUUAUUGUGACACUAUGAUACACGAACAAACACACACACACACGCGCACAUGCAGAUAUGUUUAAAUUUAAUCUCCAAC
rnacentral:lncRNA from 1 species